rnacentral:rRNA from 1 species
GAGUUUGAUCCUGGCUCAGAACGAACGCUGGCGGCAGGCCUAACACAUGCAAGUCGAGCGAACCCUUCGGGGUUAGCGGCGGACGGGUGAGUAACGCGUGGGAACGUGCCCUUUGCUACGGAAUAGCCCCGGGAAACUGGGAGUAAUACCGUAUGUGCCCUUCCGGGGGAAAGAGUUUAUCGGCAAAGGAUCGGCCCGCGUUGGAUUAGGUAGUUGGUGGGGUAAUGGCCUACCAAGCCGACGAUCCAUAGCUGGUUUGAGAGGAUGAUCAGCCACACUGGGGCUGAGACACGGCCCAGACUCCUACGGGAGGCAGCAGUGGGGAAUCUUAGACAAUGGGGGAAACCCUGAUCUAGCCAUGCCGCGUGAGCGAUGAAGGCCUUAGGGUUGUAAAGCUCUUUCAGCUGGGAAGAUAAUGACGGUACCAGCAGAAGAAGCCCCGGCUAACUCCGUG